CAGUGUACUAACAUUGGGAGGUAGAGUCAUUCUGGCUGGUGCCUUGGUCCUUGACACACAUUUGUGCUCAGGUACCAUUUAAUAUUACAUGCAGACUGAAACCCUCACAUGGCUAACCAUCUCUCCUUCCCCCUCCUCCUCUUCAUCAUCUUCUACAGAGUCUCAGCAGGGAGGCAUGUGUCUGUGCAGACAGGAGGCUCCAUCACCAUCCCAUGUAGCUAUGAUCAGUAUUACAUAAACCACGUGAAGUACUGGUGUAAAGGGUAUGGUUGGACUCAUUGCUCCUCUGUAGUACGCACUGACCAUCCUAAGAGCACUGAUAGGGCGUCAAUCUCUGAUGACAUCACCCAGAAAGUCUUCACUGUGAUCAUGACUGAUCUGGAGCCAGACGACUCUAAUACUUACAGGAUCCAUUUCCUGAAGCUGAUGAUGUCACAAACAGCACUGUCAUCUUCCUGCACAAGACCCAACUAAAAGGGCAGACCAAGUCAGCAGAACCAGAUGAUAAUGUGGUCUACAGCUCACUAGCUCUACAGGUGACCACACAGCAGAGGGCAGCAGCACAGCAGUGACUGACUGAAAAGACCUUGAUCGAGUCCUUAUCCUUUAAGGACAGAACACUCCCCUCUCCUGUGUUACAACAUCUAUCUGCAUCCAAUAUUCUUCUGUCAUACCUCUUAACCCACCACAGGUAGACCCUUCUAUCCUUUAGUGUAAUAAACUACUGAAGACAGUCUGCUGUGUUUGUUGUGAUUAUCAUCACAUUUCUGAUAAUAGUUAUGUUGCAUCAACCUUUCCCCUCUCUGGUUUCUUACAUCAUGAUCUUAUUGAUCUCAUCUAGUUAAAUGUCCUAUGCCUGUAACUAAUCAUGAUCAAACGUGUAUUAAGAUCUUAGUAUACUGAACUGCAAUA